rnacentral:rRNA from 1 species
CCUACGGGUGGCAGCAGUGAGGAAUAUUGGUCAAUGGGCGCGAGCCUGAACCAGCCAAGUAGCGUGAAGGAUGACGGUCCUAUGGAUUGUAAACCUCUUUAGGCGGGGAGCAAUGCCGGGCACGUGUGCCCGGAGGGAGAGUACCCGCAGAAUAAGCAUCGGCUAACUCCGUGCCAGCAGCCGCGGUAAUACGGAGGAUGCGAGCGUUAUCCGGAUUUAUUGGGUUUAAAGGGUGCGUAGGCGGAUUUUUAAGUCAGCGGUAAAAUGUCCGGGCUCAACCCGGGCCGGCCGUUGAAACUGGGGAUCUUGAGUGGGCGAGAAGUAUGCGGAAUGCGUGGUGUAGCGGUGAAAUGCAUAGAUAUCACGAAGAACUCCGAUUGCGAAGGCAGCUUACUAAACUGCCACUGACAUUGAUGCUCGAAAGUGUGAGUAUCAAACAGGAUUAGAUACCCUGGUAGUC